rnacentral:rRNA from 1 species
AUUGAACGCUGGCGGCAGGCCUAACACAUGCAAGUCGAGCGAGCGGCGGACGGGUGAGUAAUGUAUGGGGACUGCCCGAUAGAGGGGGAUCACUACUGGAAACGGUGGCUAAUACCGCAUACUAUCGGAUAACCCAUAUGGGAUUAGCUAGUAGGUGGGGUAAAGGCUCACCUAGGCGACGAUCUCUAGCUGGUCUGAGAGGAUGACCAGCACAACGGGGACUGAGAAACGGCCAAGACUCUGACGGAGGCAGAAGUGGGGAAUAUUGCAAAAUGGGCGCAAGCCUGAUGCAGCCAUGCCGCGGGUAUGAAGAAGGCCUUGGGGUUGUAAAGUACUUUCAGCGGGGAGGCGUUACCCGAAGAAGAAGCACCGGCUAACUCCGUGCCAGCAGCCGCGGUAAUUC